rnacentral:rRNA from 1 species
UACGUAGGGGGCUAGCGUUGUCCGGAAUCAUUGGGCGUAAAGCGCGCGUAGGCGGCCAGAUAAGUCCGGUGUGAAAGUCACAGGCUCAACCUGUGAAUGCCGCUGGAAACUGUCUGACUAGAGUCCGGAAGGGGCGAGUGGAAUUCCUGGUGUAGCGGUGAAAUGCGCAGAUAUCAGGAGGAACACCAAUGGCGAAGGCAGCUCGCUGGAACGGUACUGACGCUGAGGCGCGAAAGCGUGGGGAGCGAACAGG